AUUCCUAUAUGGGAAUAUAUUAGUGUUUUGGUUUUUUUGUCUCUGAUAGUCUGCUUUAGAACUUUCGUAAGUAAAUAUGCAAAUCAGUAUGUAAUGUAUCAAGGCGGUUGACUUGCAUUAUGUAUUGGAAAUUAAAAAAUUCCUAUUCAGAAUCUAAGUUUAAGCGAUAAAUGUAAACCUCGCCAGCAACUUAUAUUACUCUAAUCUUUACUUAUUAGAACAUUUUUUCCAUUAAACUGACAUAGAUAAAAAAAAUAUUCAUGCUAUUGCUCAAUACAACAUAAGCAUGAUAAGUAUAUUACAGAAGUUGGUAGAAAACACAGAUGAUUCCACAUGAACGCAGGAGAAAGGCUUUCCCGAUACACAGACGGAAAACACCGCUUAUUCUUUUAGAACUACAGCGGAGAGUUUUGCUGAAACACAGACGGUGUUAAAGUUGAAAUGGUAUGUCUACUGCGGAGGGAUAACAGGAGUUAUACUGCUGGUUGGGGGCUGUUUUGCUUGUGUGCAGUUCAGGAGAAGAAGGCAAAAACCAAACACGGCAAUUACCAAUGAUGAAUUCUAAGAGUUUCAUGCAAAGGAAAUCAAAAUGCAUCAGUACAAAAGAAAAGUAUGCAUAAUUAUCAUACCAUUGAUGACAACAUAUUAGCAGGUCGAAACACAAACUCUUAUGCGUAUUCAGAGGUAUUGACUGAAUCAAGCAUCAAGAAAGGCCAAAAAGUGGAACUGAAACUGCAUGUAGUAACGCUCAACAUGCUCAAUAAUACCAAAGCUUAGUCCCUGCGACCAUGGAGAUGCAUUAUUAAAAGUAGAGAACAAUAUCACAGAUAUGUUUAAUAAAGUUACCAUUAAAAACAUACGUGAAACGGUUUUUAAGAAACAAUAACGAUUCAAGAAAUGCAUUGGGGUUCAUAUAUUAUAUUAUCAAACAAACACAAAGAGUAUCAGAAAUGUGAGACAAAAUACACUUUAAUGCCUUUUUUACACACUAUCUUGAAUUACAUUAUAUAUGUAAGUGUUUUAAUACAAUCUAUGCAGUCCAUUUGUCCGUUAAAGGAUAGGAACGUUCAAUUCCGUAGAGUACUGAUAUUAAAGUAGGAUAAAAAUCAAAUCAAAAGUACUGUAUUCCGACUUGUACAUGGUAAAAAUCUGACAUUUUGUACUGCAUAUAAUAUAUUUACAUUAACACAUCUGUUAUUGGCCUGUUUGAUCCUUUCAUUUGUUGAAUAGGUUUUUUUUAUUCAGUAAUAAUUUGUUGCUAAAAUGUAUAUAUGUUAUAUUGUAUGUGUUGUUAUGCU